rnacentral:rRNA from 1 species
AGCGAACGCUGGCGGCAGGCCUAACACAUGCAAGUCGAACGGCAGCACAGGAGAGCUUGCUCUCUGGGUGGCGAGUGGCGGACGGGUGAGGAAUACAUCGGAAUCUACUUUUUCGUGGGGGAUAACGUAGGGAAACUUACGCUAAUACCGCAUACGACCUACGGGUGAAAGCAGGGGACCUUCGGGCCUUGCGCGAUUGAAUGAGCCGAUGUCGGAUUAGCUAGUUGGCGGGGUAAAGGCCCACCAAGGCGACGAUCCGUAGCUGGUCUGAGAGGAUGAUCAGCCACACUGGAACUGAGGCACGGUCCAGACUCCUACGGGAGGCAGCAGUGGGGAAUAUUGGACAAUGGGCGCAAGCCUGAUCCAGCCAUACCGCGUGGGUGAAGAAGGCCUUCGGGUUGUAAAGCCCUUUUGUUGGGAAAGAAAUCCAGCUGGCUAAUACCCGGUUGGGAUGACGGUACCCAAAGAAUAAGCACCGGCUAACUUCGUGCCAGCCGCCGCCGUAA